AAAAUUCGUUACGUAGAUUGAAAAUACAAAUUUUCCAAUGUUCUCAUUUCUAUGCUUUUUUGUACAUAUUUCGCACAUACGUAGUUUUCGUAAAUAUUUCCGUGAUUUUUCGUAACUACAUAGCCGGCCUGUGGACAUGAGGCGAAAACUGCAUCCUCCAUCCACCCACAAGAGCACAGGGGUCGUAAAAAUUCUUAAGAAAGAAAAUAACCACGUAGUAAAAAUGUAGUGUGGAUGUGGACGAUGCGAAGCCAUAAAGAAAUACACCCAUGAAUUAUUUCCACAGUCAAUCUCAACCCUCUCCGAUCUAAAUUGGAAUUGCUUCCCUGCCAUAAGAUGGAUCGUAGUCACGGCAAAGUUGGGAAAAAAAGACGAUUUAACCAGGUUCAUACCCUACGAACGUAAAUCAUACUUUGUCCUGAUAUGUAUCAUCACCAGACGAAAAAAACAGCCUCCAUAUUUGGAACCACAACAACAUUACUAAAAAACCAGAAGAGAUAGCCUGCGAAGGAAAUUCGUACCAAAAAAAGUCUCCAUUAUGGAAUAUGCAACAAUAAAGAAACUUAUUUUGCCACAUGAAUCAUGGAAAAUAGAUAACGACAUCCCAAUUUUAAUAGAAAAUUUCCUGAAUUUUCUAACGAAUUUAUUUACACAAAUACAUGAAUACGCCCAUUGUUACUGCAGAUCGUAAAUCUGAUUAUAUUAAAAAACCUAUCAUUUUACCAAGAUAAACAAACAAACAGACAAAAAAAUCUGUUACAUAGUGCAUAGAAAGAAAAAAACGUCAACAAAAACCACAAGAAAUUAUGUUUGCCAAGCCAAUUUCUCAACAUUUCACAUGCACACAAAUUGCCAAUUAUGUACCUCGAAUAGGAGAAGAAGAAGACAUAAUAUUUCCAACCGCUGCCAAUUUCUGUAGAUUACAUUUUUCAUUUCCAUUUCAUUCCUCAAAUUACAACAUUACGUGAAAACAAAUCAUGUC